ensembl:lncRNA
AGCAGAGCAAAGCCCUGCGGGAGGAGAGGAGCUGCAGCUGCUCCGGCUUUCUGCUGGCACCGGCGGGCUCUGCUCCUUCCUGCAGCCAUGGGCCUGUCUGGUUAACUCGUGAGCAUCCAGAGGGACAGCUGUUCCCCAGGCCCAGCCGUGCACCAUGGGCUGUUUCUAUUUGCUGCUACUCCUGUGCCACCCAUACGCAGCCCUCCGACUCCUGCUUCUCCUUUUCCUCCCCCUCUCCUCCUCUAUUUGUGGGUAAUAUCCCAUAGUCCCAUCCCUGUGUUUGCUGGGCACCCCAUGCUCCACGUCACCCACACGUUGGUGGAAGGCACGCCGUGCAAACGCCAUGGGGACGGCACAGGGGGUGCUCUGCAGAAAGAUGUUAGGCCCUAAAUACAGCAGGGGCUUCACAGCAGCAAACCCCACAGCACUACGAUGGGCUGCCCCACGGCGAUGCUCCCAGUGCAGCCCAGUAAGGAUGGGAGAGGGGGAGGGGAGGCACUGGUUUGCUUUCUGCUGGAGCAAGUUCACAGAUGAAAAGAAAGCAGUGAAGACCUCUCGUGGGCCGUGGGUGGCAGAGCAAGCUGGCUGCGCUACGGCUAUUUAUGCCUCAGGGCUGCCAUGGAUUUAUAUCUUUGUCAUUAAGUAUUGCAAAGAGAAAAAGAAGAAGGCAAACGCUCGUCCCUUUCUGAAGUCACAAAGUCAGAGGAUCGCUGACUCAAGCACCAAAAGUCCCCGAGCAGCUCUGCUCGUGCAGAUUUAGAAUCAGCCCCAGCCAACCUACGAGAAUAAUUAUUUCUCCUCUCCGCUGUGCUAUUUAAAGUGCAAUGAAGUACAGAGGCACUGUGUGGUGUGCAGAAGAGUUAUGCUCUCACGCGGCGAGGCGCUGUGCAGGUAAAUCAGCCCAGCCCCGCUCCCCUGAGGCCGUGGGUUGGUUCAGCACUGCAGCAGGGAUGGCGCAAAGCCAUUGGGGUGGCCGUGCACGAGCAGGCAGCCCCCAGGGCCAGCAUCUCCCCUGCACCCCCCCAGCACGCUUCCCUCUGUACCCCUCCCUUGCAUCAAACCAAAGCAGGGGUGGGAUUCUGUUAAAUAAAAAAGAGCACUCAAAUCCCACCCCAUCCCCUUUUGUUGUUGUUGUUUUGGUCCUACAAUAUUUUAUGGCUCAUUGUUGGCUUUCUUGUCUUCUUAUAAUGCAUAAAAGCGGCCCUGCUUGCCAUGCUUGGCUUCACCUCAAGUUCAGUAAAUCGAGGUAUUUAAUUAAACACAGCAAUUUAUCGGCUCUCAGCCCAGUUCAUAAGAAACUCACGCAUCAUUUGAGCAGGAUUUUCAUAUACUUCACUUGGAAAAAGUACAGAGCCAGCUUUAACAGCACAAAAUACUGAUUUUUGGCAACACAAAGAACCACUUCUCCUCCACAAGCACUUUGCUGCCCCCCAUCAAUGCCUGCCAGCUGCCCCAUACAUGCAGGGUAAACCUACGCUUGGCCUGGAUUACUCAACAAGAAUAAAGAUGUUCUGUGACACACCAGCAGAAAUCCUUGGGAACAGACCUGGGGUCACCCAGAAGGUGUUCCAGAACCACAGAGAUGUGGCACUGAGGGACAUGGUCAGUG